AUUUAACUAACGAGCCCCAAAUAGGACGAAACGCGUGUCCUGAAU
rnacentral:hammerhead_ribozyme from 1 species